rnacentral:rRNA from 1 species
AAUUUGAAAUCUGGCCCUCCGGGGUCCGAGUUGUAAUUUGUAGAGAGUGCUUCGGGUGAGACCGCGGUCUAAGUCCAUUGGAACAUGGCGUCCCAGAGGGUGAGAAUCCCGUAUGUGACUGCGGCUCGAGCCCAUGUGAAGCCUCUUCGACGAGUCGAGUUGUUUGGGAAUGCAGCUCUAAAUGGGUGGUAAAUUUCAUCUAAAGCUAAAUACUGGCUGGAGACCGAUAGCGCACAAGUAGAGUGAUCGAAAGAUGAAAAGCACUUUGGAAAGAGAGUUAAACAGUACGUGAAAUUGUUGAAAAGGAAGCGCUUGCAACCAGACCUGUCCGUAGGCGAUCACCCGCUGUUCUCAGCGGUGCACUCGUUCUGCGAUCAGGCCAGCAUCGGUUCGGGCGGCCGGAUAAAGGCCUUGGGAAUGUAGCUCUCCUCCGGGGGAGUCUUAUAGCCCUCGGUGCAAUGCGGCCAGCCGGGACCGAGGACCGCGCUUCGGCUAGGAUGCUGGCGUAAUGGUUGUAAGCGACCC